ACCAGCAUCCUAUACCGAAACUGGGCGCACGAAGAAGACCCACUCCGCACUAACCUAACCCGCCGCCGCUGCUAAGCCUCGCCACCGUCACACAAACCCUCUGCUGCUCCGUUGGUGUUGGCGCAACCGCAAACACCUCCGCUGCUCCGCUCUUCGCUGUCCAUUAGAACACGUCUUAGAAGGAGAAACAAGGGUGAUCAACUUGGUCGUCAAUUAGCACAGUUCAUACUGCUUUCACGGACAAGACAGUUUUUAACAUCAGCCAUGAGUGGUGAUGCAGCAUAUUUGGAGCACCCUAUAUCAGAGGAUACACUUCAAUUACUCUUUGAAGCUUCCAACUGUUCUAACUUGGAAAAGUCCUUAGAGAUUCUCAUUCAGAAUGCCAAAACAGAUUCAGGGCGUUCGGAACUAGCUUCUAAAAAGAUUCUCCCUGCAGUACUUAACAUAGUUCACUCACUCACUCAUGCUUCACAUCAUCGUUGUCAUAAUGAUAUUCUUUCUUUGUGUUUCAAGCUCCUCAGAAACUUGUGUGCUGGAGAAGCUGCAAACCAGGGCUCAUUUCUUGAGCAAAAUGGGGUAGCUGUUGUUUGCAGUGUUUUGAGGUCAGAGGCUGGUUCUUCAGGCCCUGAUCAUGGGUUGGUCCGGUGGGGUUUGCAGGUUCUGGCAAAUGUUUCUUUGGCAGGGAAACUGCAUCAGCAUGCUAUUUGGGAAGAGCUGUAUCCGGUUGGUUUUGUAUCACUUGCUAGACUUGGCACCAAGGAGACUUGUGACCCGUUGUGUAUGGUGAUUUUUACGUGUUGUGAUGGAAACCCUGAAUGGUUUAAAAAGCUGUCCAGCGAUGAUGGCUGGCUUGUAAUGGCAGAAAUUGUGAGAACUGCUUCUUCUGCUAGUCUCGGUGAGGAUUGGUUGAAGUUGCUCCUUUCAAGAAUCUGCCUUGAAGAAUCUCAAUUGCCGGGGUUGUUUUCGAAAUUACAGUUUGUGGAUGUUCCCAAGGGUGAAGUUACUGAGUCAAAAGAUAGUCAAUUUUCAUUUGAACAAGCAUUUCUUCUGCGAAUCUUAUCAGAAGUCUUGAAUGAGCAGCUUAGAGAUGUUACUGUUUCAAAGGAAGUUGCAUUGUUUGUUUUUGGAAUAUUCAAGAAGUCAAUUGGGGUUCUUGAGCAUGCAAUGAGAGGGAAAUCUGGUCUGCCUAGUGGCUUUGCUGGGGUAGACGUUCUUGGCUACUCUAUUACCUUAUUGAGGGACAUUUGUGCUCAAGACGGUAUGAGAAGUAAUAAAGAGGAUGCAAGUGAUGUUGUUGAUGUGCUAUUGUCAUAUGGCAUCAUAGAGUUGCUUUUGUUUUUGCUUGGGGCCCUUGAACCUCCAGCAAUAAUCCGAAAAGGACUCAAACAGUUUGAGAAUCAAAAUGGUACUAGUUGUUCCUCAAAACCAUGCCCUUACAAAGGCUUCAGGCGAGACAUAGUUGCACUUAUUGGCAAUUGUGUUUAUAGAAGGAAGCACGCACAAGAUGAAAUCCGGCACAGGAACGGAAUUCUACUGCUAUUGCAGCAGUGUGUUACUGAUGAUGAUAAUCCUUUUCUGAGAGAAUGGGGCAUAUGGUCUGUGAGGAAUUUGUUGGAGGGAAAUGAUGAGAACAAAAAGGUAGUUGCUGAGUUGGAGAUUCAAGGAUCUGCUGAUGUGCCUGAAAUUACUGCACUUGGUCUCCGUGUGGAAGUUGAUCAGAAAACUAGACGUGCAAAGCUUGUAAACGUCCCAUGAAAGAUCACUAUAACUUGGCGUCUGUGCAUUUCGGUCUUUCGUAGUGUGGUCCCUUGGUUGAUUUUAGAAUUCCUGUCGAUACUCAUGAUAAAUUAUCAAGCAACAUCAGAUGGGGGAGGAACAUAAUCUACAAAGUAAAAGACACAUAAUCACCAAAGAGAAUGAUUAAACCCUAAAUCAAGAUUAUGCUUUUUCAAGUAGAUUGGCAGUGAUGUUACUUUUUAUAUCAUACUUGGUGGCACUAUUUAUUACAAAACAAAUUGCGUUUCACAUUGUGAAUGAGGUUUCGUGGUGUCUCAGGUUUUUUUGGUCGAAGCAGUGGACUCUGUUGUUAAUGUUCUGCAGUUUGUCAAGUAAUUGAAGCUGUGGAAACUUGGAAGAGAUGCGCCAGGCAGAACAAAGACUGCCACUCCUUGGAUUUUUUGUCCAAUGUAAUCUUUUCAAUUUUGUAUGUAUGUAUAUUAUUAUUAUUAUCAUUAUUAUUGAUAGUAAAGUCCAUUUUUUUGGUUUGUUUUAGCUGUUCUAUUGGAUGGUAAUUGUGUUGUGCAAUUUAGAUAUGCAUCAUGUCAAUUAAAUAUUGCGGCGAAAUGGUGUUUCUGAUACGUUAGACUUACCGAUUGAGAAAUAAGUUUAUUACA